AAACCUGCCAAUGAGAACUGUCAGCGCCUGCGGGUCUCCUCCAAGCUGUCUGUAUGUCUGCUGCAGGAGUUUAUGGAUUAAUAUCGGGAUCGUUUUACAUCUACAGGUUAAAUAUGAGCAUCGGGACGUCAACAAAGAACAGAAGACUUGAGAUCUGAGCACCAGUGGACAGUGAGGACCAUGGAAGAGAAGAUGUGAUGGCUUUGUGUGGAAAGCUGCUUACGCCAGCUCCUCGUCAGUUUCUCCAGGCAGCACCCAGCUAUUCUUCCAUCUUGCAGAUGAAAAUACUUUGAUAUCACCUGGACACAGCAGGAACAUACGCCAGGACCCUGUUUGUGGACUUCAGCUCUGCCUUCAACAUAACCCUCUGGCAGGAGGCUGCGCUCCAUCAGGACCAGAACCUCUCUCCAUCAGGACCAGAACCUCUCUUCAUCAGGACCAGAACCUCUCUUCAUCAGGACCAGAACCUCUCUCCAUCAGGAC